rnacentral:rRNA from 1 species
UACGUAGGGGGCUAGCGUUGUCCGGAAUUAUUGGGCGUAAAGAGCUCGUAGGCGGUUCGUUAAGUCAGAUGUGAAAGCCCCGGGCUCAACCUGGGAACUGCAUUGGAAACUACCUUGCUCGAGGGUUGGAGGGGGGACUGGAAUUCCUGGUGUAGCGGUGAAAUGCGCAGAUAUCAGGAGGAACACCGAUGGCGAAGGCAGGUCUCUGGGCUGACACUGACGCUCAUGCACGAAAGCGUGGGGAGCAAACAGG